GAUGAAGAACGUAGCGAAAUGCGAUAAUUAAUGUGAAUUGCAGAAUUUAGUGAAUCAUCGAAUCUUUGAACGCACAUUGCGCCCCUUGGUAUUCCGGGGGGCAUGCCUGUUCGAGCGUCAUUACAACCCUCAAGCUCUGCUUGGUAUUGGGCCCCGCCAGUUCUGGCGGGCCCUAAAGUCAGUGGCGGUGCCUUCCGGCUCCGAGCGUAGUAAUUCUUCUCGCUCUGGAGACCCGGUUGUGUGCUUGCCAACAACCCCCAAUUUUUUAAGGUUGACCUCGGAUCAGGUAGGGAUACCCGCUGAACUUAAGCAUAUCAAUAAGCGGAGGA
rnacentral:misc_RNA from 1 species